UACGAAGGACCCGAGCGUUAUCCGGAUUUAUUGGGUUUAAAGGGUGCGUAGGCGGAUUAGUAAGUCAGUGGUGAAAGCCCAUCGCUUAACGGUGGAACUGCCAUUGAUACUGCUAGUCUUGAGUAUGGUUGAGGUGGGCGGAAUGUGUCAUGUAGCGGUGAAAUGCUUAGAUAUGACCCAGAACACCAAUUGCGAAGGCAGCUUGCUAAGCCAUAACUGACGCUGAUGCACGAAAGCGUGGGGAGCAAACAGG
rnacentral:rRNA from 1 species